GUAUAGAUUUAAAGGCAUUUAAGCCCUUCAAUUACAUUCAAAGACAUACAAUGGGGUGUAUAAUGUAUAGACCCGGGCUCUGCUGUAGAAUAAAGCUGACCUUGUGUAAGACAAAAAGCCUGCAGCAUUCAAAUCCAAAGUCUCCUUUGAAAAGUAGCGUCACCCAAAGACUACAAAAGGUUCACAGGUGGUUGAAAUGACUUUUGCUAAGCGUGCACAUGCCCCCGAAGGAGCCAGCAAACAGCUUCGCAUAGUGAAUUCAAUAAUGAUCCUUCCGCAGGUUCACCUACGGAAA
rnacentral:misc_RNA from 1 species